GAACACUACCAGAAUGUAUCAGUGGCUAAACUGGUUCUGCACUAACAAUUCCUGUAGCUCAUUUGGAAAACUGGUACUGUAGGAAAGUGUAUAACCAUAAUGGCAUCCAUCGUAGAUUGUUUCUUUGGGUAUCUUGUUAGACAUGUUCAAAUUUUAAAUGGAAAGAUGUUAGGACUUGGACUGUCUUCAGAACCUUAUUUUAUAUGACAUUUCAACUUAAGAUGGAACACCGGCUAUAAUGGACUUUAUGUGAGCGCGGUUUUGUGCAUAUGCAGGUUGAGCAUCCCUUAAUCCAGAAGUUUCCACAUUGGUGGCUAAGAUAGUGACAGCUUUGCUUUCUGAUGGUUCAGUACGCAUAUACUUUGUGUCAUGCUCAAAAUAGUGUGCAUAAAUUGCAUUCACACUAUUUAUGUAUUUAUUUAUUUAUUAUAUUUAUUUACCGCCUUUCUCACCCCAAGGGGGACUCAAGGCCGUUUACAACAUAUUAAUGGCAAGAAUUCAAUGCCAACAUACAUAUAAUAGAAAAAUCAUAAUAGCUAAACACAAACACAUAGCUAUAAAUCAAAAUCAUUAAGCAUAGGCAUAAACAACAUUUGAAACAAAGACAAAUAAUUUUAAAACAUCCUAAGGUAAAUAUUAAAAUCACAUGAUCCAAAAAACUUACACUUUGGCCAUUUUGAUUGUCAUUGGACAUAUUUCCUAAUUACUCCUUAGAAUACAUUACUGGCCAAAUGCUUGCUCCCACAACCACGUCUUUAUUUUCUUUCUAAAGGCUGGGAGGGAGGGUGCUGAACUAAUCUCACUGGGGAGAGAGUGAGUAUAUUUGUAUAAGUAUAUAUAAAACAUAAAUUAGUAUUGCGUUUGGGCUUUGGUUCUGUGUCCCAAGAUAUCGCAUUAUGUCUGCAUUUACAAAUGCAAUUACUCCCAAAUCUGAAAAUAAUCCAAAAUCCCAAACAUUUCUGGUCCCAAGCAUUUUGGAUAAGGAAUAUUCAACUUGUAAUAUCACAGACUCAUGCCUAUUCCAUCUUAUUACUUUGCAUGUCUAGCAUCGAGCUGCAGGUUUGCAGCUUUCACACUAUAACAUUACUACUCCAUCUCAACUGCCAUGGCAACAUCUGUAGAGUCCAGGAGUUGAUGAUUUGGUGAGAAUUUUCCACCAGAAAGCUCCAUGAAUACCUCUCCAUUCUCCAAAACCACAGAAUGCAAACAUCGUAGAUAAAAUAGAAUCAUAGCUCUGCAAUUGUCUUUCUAGCACAAAGCUACAGUCUUUUAGCACUUUCUUAGGCCUCCUAACCUAAAGAAACUGAAGGAAGAAUUUGUGUUGGCUGCAGAAUUACAUGCUCUGAAGAGACAGCUGUUUGGUCUCUUCAAGGCUGGGAAUCUUGCCCAUAGUUAUCACACUUGAUACGUAGAAAUGGUCGUUUGGCUAUUGCAAUCCAUACCCAUGUGUCGGGGUGGCAUUCUGCCUGAUGACAGCCUGAGCAGCAUUCCCUCAUCAGGGAAGUAGUGUUGAGGCAAAGAGGGGUGCAUGUACUAUCUCUUUCCCAAAGGAAUUUUUUUUGUUUUCCUUUUUUAUGUUGCAGCAUGCAUAUGGUGGCCUGCCAUUUCUUCAUGAGCUUCUGUUUCUUUUGAGCACCUAAGUGUAGGGCACAUGAGAAGGCUGUAGAGCUCACAGCCAGUGCGCAGGAAAGAAAUCCAAUGACUUUCACAGAUGUCCCUUUUUAAAAAAUAAAAAUAAAAAGUGGAAAGAGAGAGACCUCUCUGGGAUUCAAAAUGCAUGUAACAGAGCCACCUUUCGCGAAAGCAAUAGCUAAGCAAACAAUGGCUUCCAGUGUUGAGCUUAAACACAGAGAGAGUUACUAGCGCCAGACUGCCAGAUCCUGUUGACCUCCAGGGCAUGCUAGAAGGUUUAUCUGUUUACAAGGCUUUUUAGAAUGGCAGAGGGGGAGGCAGAGGUACUAGAACCAGUAUUGGGUUUUUUCUUUUAUAUCUUCCUGGAGUAUAUAAGUAAAUCAAGGAGCUCUUGUUUAUUUUUUGACAUAUUUUCAUGGUGUUUGAAAUUGUGCCGAUGAAGAAAUAUAGAUAAGGUUGGAAUACUGCCAAAAAGGAUGGAUGAAAGUGGUGAAACACACACUCACACACACACACCAAUAAUAAAUGUGUGGUGACUUUUCCUGUAAGUGACGUUACAGGGAUUUGGCCAGUCAAUUGUGAUAUCUGAAAUAAAAGCGCCAAAAUGAUAGUUGUGAGCCUACUGAAAUUUAGGGUCAGUUUGUCAACUCAAAGUUUAUGUAAUUUCUUGCAUCUUUGGUAGGCCAAAGCAAGGUUUCCUGUAGAUACGGGGAUGUAUGCUGUACCUUAUUUGUGGAAUUAUCGUGAGCCAGAUUUCCUUAUUAAUGCCAUGCAUUUCUAUAGUAGAAACACCCUUGCUGACUGACAAAAGUUAAAACCAUAAAGUGUAAGGAUGCAGUAAAAAUAUCAUAAAAACCUACAAAGAUGUAAAACAGCAACUGAUUCAAAGUAAAUAUAAGCACCAGAGGAAAAUGAUGGAAAAUAUCUCAAUAGGGUUUUCAAACUGAAAUACAGUAGAGUCACACUUAUCCAACUUAAACGGGCCGGCAGAACGUUGGAUAAGCGAAUAUGUUGGAUAAUAAGAAGGGGGAUAUAAGGAAAAGCCUAUUAAACAUCACAUUAGGUUAUGAUUUUGCAAAUUAAGCACCAAAACCUCCUGUUAUACAACAAAUUUGACAGAAAAAGUAGUUCAAUACGCAGUAAUGCCAUGUAGUAAUUACUGUAUUUACGAAUUUAGAACCAAAACAUCACCACAUUUACUCCAAAAACAUUGACUACUAAAAGGCAGACUGCGUUGGAUAAUCCAGAACGUUGGAUAAGCGAAUGUUGGAUAAGUGAGACUCUACUGUAUUAGAAAUCCUGAGAGAAUAAAAUAACCAAUACAUUCAUAAUGUGACCACCUUUUGUAAGAAAAGCCCUUCAAAAUUGGGCUGCCGCUAACUGAGAAGCCUCUCAAUUUCUUUUGGAUGCCUGCUGCUAAAGCAGGUAGAGUUUUGUCAAUGUGUCUGUACCAUGUAGAGCUUGGACACUAUCCAGUCUAAAAGUCCCUAGUGAAGGUAAAUCUUAAUUUAAAUAUUUAUACAGAAAUGUUUAACAGAAAUCAGCUGUUCAAAACGUAUUUUCAUAGAUCCUUCAAAAUUGUACUCCAGUUGCUCCAAAGAGCAGAAAUUCAAAGUAGUGGUUGGAAGCCUGUAAACCUAUCUCCAAAUGUAAUGGAAUGGAUAAAAAGCUUCUACAUACAAAAUGCCCCAAAAGACAAUGAUCAAUUUGCACAUUUUCUAAGCCUGUUUAUGGACCUCACUAGCUUUCUGUAGAACUAUUCUCUUUUGUUGCUCUGUCCCAUUACCAACCUACCCCCAGCCACAUUGGUAAAACCCAUCUCACUUGCUCUUUCACGUCUUUGGUUGUCUGUCCAUAAGAAAAGGGGGAAAGAUAGGUGGUGGUUCUUCAUUAGGGUAGCAGAAAAGAAGGACCAUGACCUAUAUUUAUAGAUUUCUUUGCCCAGUCUUAUCUUCAUAGGAGACCUGGGUUGGAGUGGAUAGUCUAGAAUUGCAAAUAGUAGUCCAGAAUCAAAGUGAUUAGCAGGCUUCUAAAAUCCAGGCUCAUUAGGAAGUAGACAGAAUUACGGGUUUCAGGAGUGCUGUAGGAGACAAUGGACAAACAUAAUUUAGGAUUACUUGCAGAGGUCCCAUCUGAUGGAGAGGUGGUCAAGAACAUAUUCUAGAUCCAGUAAGACUAGUAUAAAAGCCUUGUUCUAGAAAGUCUUCCAUCCUAGAACAGAGUUAUAUUAGUUUUGGUUUUGAGUUGUUUGUUUGCUUUUGCAUGGGUGCUUCUCAGUUUGUGAAGCAGUAUGUUUUUCCUCAACUACACUUCUUGCAUACAAUGUGCUUUCUUUCUAUGUUUGAUAAUUGGACCAAUGCUCAGUGAUUAGCUGUAGGAUUCUGGAAGAAGUCUUGCUUGUCAAACCCCUCCCCCCCCUCUAUGCAUGUGGUGCCCUUUACGUACAAGGAGCCUUUUCCUGCAGCCAGGCAGUUCAGAACAUGAGGACACUUGCCUGCCCCUUUGUGUGUAACCACUUUCAAGUCGUUUCUCUUGUGUCUCUGAACUGGACCUCUCUCCCACCCAGCAGUAAGGGAAACUUCCAGUAAUUCUCUUAUCUCCUAUAUGAGAAGUCAGUCUUCUUCUGGGCCAUUAGCAUAAGGGGUUCCCAGGUGCUGCCAUUUAACCCAGGUCCUACUGGGCUGCAUGACAACCACACUAAGUAAACACAGAGCUACACUCCCCUUACGCCUGAUCAUUCAGUGCCAGGCAUGGGCAAAUCUCGGCCUUUAGGCGUUUCAAACUUCAACUCCCACAAUUCCUAACAGCCGGUAAACAGGCUGGGAUUUCUGGGAGUUGAAGCCCAAAACACCCAGAGGGCUGAAUUUUGCCCAUGCCUGUUCUAUGCCUUCAUUAGAGGGGACUUCAACAGUUCUGUUAACAUUUUGGGGCAACUGAUGGGGGCGGGUGGAAUGGUGUCAUAAGGUUUCCUUUAAAAACAAGGACCAUUGUAGUCGUCGGCUGACUGGUCACAUUAAUCCAUGGUAUUAAAUCGACAUUUUAUUUGACCCAUAGGCCAGUUAAGAUGUUGUAGAUCUCACUUGACCUUUGUAAUUUCCUAGUAAAUGUCAUCAAUAUAAAGAAUAAUACUUGAACUUCUAAGCUAACAGCUAAAUAAAUGUUUAGGGCAGAUGAUGCUAACAGUUGUAUUAUAGAUUACAAUGCUACAAGAAUAUUAUAGGAGAGAUACUUCCAUGUCAAUAUUUAGUAUUAGUCCAAUAUUUCCUCUUGUGUCAUACAGUCUUUCUGCUGAAGAUGUUUCCACUACUAAUCACCUCUACAUCUACUUUCUUUUGCUGUGUAUGAUAUUAGCAAACUAACAAUAAGUGUUCAACAUUUGUUCCAUGUUUGUUCCAUCAUGUUCUGGGCUGUUGUUGGCUACAAAUAUAGCUGAAUUUUUAUAUUAUACUAGCUGUGCCCGGCCACGCGUUGCUGUGACGAAGUCUGGUGGUAUGGGAAAUAAAAGUAUUGAGGAAUUGGUGGUAGUUAAGGUAAAGGGUAAAGGUUUUACCUUACAUUAAGUCCAUUAUAAAUGGGUAAUAUAGCUGUGUGGAAGGGCCUUGAGUCUACACUGCCAUAUAAUCCAGUUAAAAUAAGAUAAUCUGUGGAAGAGGCUGAGGCCUAAGUCUGCCUGUCCCCUGGGCUGAGUUGGUUGCUAGGAGACCAAGUGGGCAGAGCUUAGCCUUCUAAAUGGCAGCAAUUGGAUAAAAACAAUUAUUCCUUUCCCUCUAAUUAGGACUUUAUUUUUCUUUUCUUUUUGUUGUAUCAACCUAGAGGCGUGGAUAAUGGGUUGUGUUGUCAAAUUUCGAGGUUGGAGGGCCUGUAGUUUUGUUUUGUUGGUCGCUGUGAUGCCAUCACACUUUUAUAUAUAUAGAUAACCGCCCGAGGUUCCCUUUAAAAGGUUUGGAAAUUGGGAGUAUUAUUUGACCGAAACUCGAGCUUCUUCCUUCUCUCAAAGCCAAAAUUCCCAGAGAUUUCUGAUGAGACAGGAAGGCUAUUUCAUGCCUGUUGAUAUGGCUCUUGUGUCUUCUACCUAGAAAUUCUGAUUAAAAGUCAUAUUGCGCAUCAAUGGAUAGAAAAAUCUUAGGGAUUUCUCAUAACAGCUUCCAUAAUUCAUAUUGACAGGAGAAUUUUGAGAACAGUUGUUCCAAAAUAGCAAUGUUUCCAAACAAUUCCUUUGGCCUGUCAGCUUCCUUCAACAUAGCUAAAAUAAGAAAGGGAAUAAGGGGAUCACCUCUGCUAUAAAGAACAACCUUUUACAGAUAUAUUAUCUCUGAUGGCUCCAAUUUUGCCUGUCUUCACUAGCAGAGUGGUCCAUUCUUGGCUAUACAGAGAAAACUACAAUAUAAUUAAACCCUUUAUCAGAUUUAUUUUAGCAUGGGCUUUCAUGGAUUGCAACCCGCUUUCUCAGAAAACUCCAAGGAAUGCAAGUUGCAUUGGAAGAAGUGGAUUGUAAUCCAUGAAAGAAUAUCCCGAAAUAAAUCUAUGGGUGUCACGUGACACUUGCUUUGAUAUGCCAGUCUAGAUUCACUCCGCUGCCUCUUUGAAAAAUUACACCAAUGGAAAAAAUGCUGCUUUAAAAGAUAGCGGAGAAGUCAGAUGGGUGCUACUUGGGAGUUUUCAUUAAACCACAAUUAAGAUACGGCGAAAUAACUUAAUCUGUAGCAGACGCUAUUUUCAUCCAGAGUAUUAGGUUGCUGGGACAGGGAGCAGUGCUCAUUUUUUUAAAAGGAGGAAUGUGUUUCUCAUUAAGCUGUUAUGGGCUACAGGAUGUUAUCAAUCUGCCUUGGAGAGUGUUGUGUGCUCUGAAUUCAGGUUGGGCAAUGUGAGUGUGGUUUUAACUUACCGUAUAUGGGCACGGUGGGAGCUGGAACUCUUAGGUAGUUUACAAGGCUUUAAGGAGGGAUUUUGGAAGACCAGAAAGUGGUAAUUGCACAGAGGCAGUGGCAGCGAGAAACAGCGCCUGGCUUGUAAAGUGAGCUUGGGUUUCCUUACGGCCUGACCUCCUGAACUCUUUUUGGCACUCCCGAGCUGGAGAAAUGCAAACCCACGCCCAGCCAAAGCUUGUAGGCUUUUCAUUUAGCCCAGAUAAUGCAAUUAGCUGCUGCUGUCUUCUGAUAAGUCACUCCCACCCAGCCUUUGACUAAAUGCCCUGACAUUCUUCCAGCGCUUGAAUGCCACUUACCAAGGAAAAUAGGCCCGAGGACUGUACAUUUUUGUAAUUCCCUAACUUACUAUUUCUUCUUAGGAAAGAAUGGGUGAUUUUAAUGUGGUUUUUAAAAUUGUUCAUGAGCUCUAUUAUUUUAAAAUGUAAAAUGACAGUGGUACUUUUAACAUUAUUUAAAGCACUAUUUAAUUAAUAGUGCAUUAUUAAAAUAAACAUUAAUUAUUUAAUUGCAUUUCUUAGCAUUUGGUUUUAUUUGCCUUUCUCCUACCUGUACAUUAAAUUCAAAGGCGCAAAUCCUAAAUGAAGGAUAUCACUGUCACAACUAGUGUAGAGCAUAAUUGGAAAAGAUAGCAUUUAAUAAUGAUUGUACAACUCCACAAACAUUGGUGAUGAGGCAUUACAUGAUGUAUAUUCUGACAAUGUCCCAGUUCAGACUCUUGACUAAACAGGCUCUGAUGUCUGUAUGCAGAAAUAUAAAUGCAUCGGGUGUAGACCGCAUUAUCCAUGUGGAUGCUUGAACCCAUGACACUCAAAUUCAUAAAAGCUCUGUUUAGAUUUUGCUUUUCCAGCUUGAGUCCACAUGCAAAUAGGAAAAUAUCUAAUCCUUCUCCCUUCAACCUUGUUUUCCUCAUACAAAAAGUUACACAUAUGCAAAGGAAAUAUUUCCACUUCUAUGGAAACUCUCAGCAUGAACUGGAAGAUCAGUUCUACAUCUCUUCAAACUUGCAGCUCUCCAUGAGAGCACAACAAGGGUGGAGGAGGAGCUACAUACUGUCCUAUUCUCAUGUGAAUUCAAAUUGAGUAAAUAACAUCUAAAUGGAGAUUGUUUGAAUCUGGGGUUUAUAGUAUGAGCCACCACAUGGACCAUUGGCAGGCACCACUCCAUACCUAAAGAGAAACGCACCCACGGAAAGAGGUUAGGCUAAUGAUUCCUCUGUUCAUGUUUUCAUUUAGAUGGGAUAGGUCAGUGGUUCUCAACCUGUGGAUCCCAGAUGUUUUGGCCUUCAAUUCCCAGAAAUCCUAACAGCUGCUAAACUGGCUAGGAUUUCUGGGAGUCGUAGGCCAAAACAUCUGAGGACCCACAAGUUCAGAACCACUGCGAUAGGUAGUGCUGGACAAGGUUGUAAUUCUCUCUCCAGAAAAAAAAAGAUUACAUGAACUGAUCCAUCGCACGUACUAGCCUCAGUAUGGAUUAAUAUGCCAAAGCAGAGGUAAUGGAGGUCAACAACUGUUGAGUUUAUCUACAGCUUCUUCAUGUAUGGAAGUUGUGGGCAUUUGUGCAAAUCCAGCCAACAUGCUAGAAAAACAGACACAUUUUCUCUGAGUCACCUUCUCCCCAAUUGUUUUUGCAUGAAUUGAUCUUUAGAUUGCCACCGUAGGUUAGUUGUUUUUUUAAAAAAAAAAAAGAGGGCUGGAGGGUCAAAAAAGCAAAAGCUGAUUCCUUAGGCACAACCACAUUCAUUUUAGGCUUAGUAGGCCACAGACUCUAUAGGAAAACAAAGUUUAAAAAGUGAAAGAAAGAACUUUUUGACAUUCUUCCACUUCCAAAUGCCACAUGCUUAGUUCUUUUAAUAUUUAUAAUACUUUAUUUUCCAUAAAUCCUGAUUUGGCACAUGCUAUGUCAAGUUUCAAGAUGGAUGACUACUAUUGCUGUGGAUAGCAAUUUUGCCUGGGUUUAAUCCUAAAUCUUUUUGGGAGGUGAAGACAAAGACUAACUGAUUUGGGGAAUCUGUUCAUUUCAUAUUUUAAUACGUAUUCAAUUAAUUUGAACUUCUGAAACUAAUGGGAAGAUCUAUUCCAUAAGGCUAGAUAUUAAUACUUAUGAAUAUUUUCUACUCCACUUUUUCAGGCAAACUUUCAAAUUACAUCAUACACCAAUAAAACAAUUAACUAAUAAUAUAUUAAAACAGCAUUAGACAGGGGCAUUAACACUUAGGCUUAAAGACAUAUGUAUUUUGCAAAUGUAAACCAAUUUGAACUUGGGUUUUCCUCUCUAAAGGUCUCUUUGAUACUGUAAUCCUGAGAGAAUACUAAAAAUUCAUUGCUAGAAAUCCUAAGUGUCUUCUUUAAAGCUACCGCUCCAAGAUUAUUAUCUGGGUUGGAAGUUAGGUUAGUUUGAAGACAUUUCUUUCUGACGGUUUCAACCUGUGAUGUAGACAUAGUCCCUGUUUUCAAUAAUUGGCCUUGGGCAGUCCUACACAAUUGGAACUUCAUAAUAAUGUAAAAUCAGCAGGGGACAUCUACAUAAUUAUAUGAUAUUCAUGUCAGAUUCAGACAGCAAGAGAGAGGUUCUUGGUGGCCUCCCUCUGCGGCAAACUCCCUUUUUGAAUAUACCUAAGCUACUCGCAGAUCCUGGAAGAAAGAGGUUAUAAAUAAUACUUCUAAGUACGGUAGCGACUUUGUGUGCUGCAGGAAGGAAGGGGGGUAGGCGGUGUGCUGGAAGAGCAAGAGUCUAAUGCUUAUUUCAAAAGUAAUGUAAGGAGUGAAACUGCUUUAUUGAUGCAACAAAUAGUUUUCUAGUUAUAUCGAAAGGCUACUUUAGAAGUCUUUGACAGAAGGUCCUUCAAGUUUUAUGCCAUUCUUUCAUCAAUACUAUAGACUGCCUAUUUUUAAAUAGUGAUAACAAAAAGUAAUGAGCAUUAUAACAAGCAAUCCAAGAAGUUGUUGGUGGUUUUUUUCUUUCAAAAUUGUCGCAAAGAACAGCAAUGGGUUACUUUUCAAAUAUAGGAGUAAUGAGAGAAGAAAUUCCUUACUCAAAUUAAUUAUCCAGGCUCUGCCCCAAAGCUGUUUAAUGCCUUUGCCAGCUAACAGGAUAACUGACCGCAGACUGUCACUGCCAGAUCAUACCGGAAAUAAUAAUAUUUGUAGCUUUGCCACUAGUAUAAUUUAACCUGGCUGGUUUCCUUAUUGGGAUGUUCUUCUCACCUUAUGAAGAAAGGCUUACAGUAAUUAAACCUGCUUUUAAUUAUUAAUUCUGAUAACUUCUUUUCUCCCAAUAGUACCCAAGGCAGCUCACAUUAAUUUUAAAAGAGGUGUGUAUGUAUAUAGGUAAAGGUAAAGGUUUUCUGAAGCUAAAGACCUGGCUAUGCGCGCAAGCGUUUAAUGAAUGAACUCAGUUAGCAUUGACAUGGAUUAGAUUUAGGCUUUUGCACAAGGUCUGAUGGAUGAUUGGUAUAUAUAUAUUUGGUGUUGCAUUGUGUUAAAUUUUUAUAUAUUGUAUUUUACUAUGUUAUUUAAUUAUUUUAACUGUUUUAUUCUUAUUGUAUUGUAUUAUGAUGUACUGGUAGUGAUCCUACCAGUUGUAUAAGCCGCCCUGAGUCCCCUCGGGGAGAAGAGCGGGGUAGAAAUAUUGGAAAUAAAUAAAUAAAUAAAUAAGUCUAGUCGAGUCCAACUCUGAGGCUUGGUCCUCAUCCAUUUCUAAACCAAAGAGCCGGUGUUGUUCAUGGUCACCUCCUAGGUCAUGUGGCCAGCAUGGCUGCAUGAAGUGCUAUUACUUCCCACCGGAGCAAUGCCUAUGUAUCUUCUCACAUUUGCAUGUUUUCGAACUGCUAGGUUGAUAGAAGCUGGGGCUAACAGUGGGAGCUCAUCCCGCUCCCCAGAUUCAUACUGUCGACCUUUUGGUCAGCAACUUCAGCAACUCAGCGGUUUAACCCGCUGUACCAGAGCUCCGUAUAUGUGUAUGUACCGUGUGUGUGUGUGUGUGU